rnacentral:sRNA from 1 species
GCUAAAACAGAGGCCUGCCUGUUCUGGCUGGGAUGAGGGCAGGGAGGUCGAGGUGGCUGAGGUCUGGGGGUGGUGAGUCAGGGUGGGGGCUUGUGUAAUUCUUCUGGGGUGCCUCUGAGUCAUGGGAGGCUUUGCAGGCCUGUGCUUCCCCAGACACCCACCCUCGUGAGGCCUGGGCUGGUCAGCAAGGGCCCCCAGGUCCCUGUAGCCCAUGUUAGUACUUGCCUGGGCUGAUGCCGAAGAGAGGGAGGGGUGAGGAUGCCACUGGUGAGCUGGGACCUCUUAAGGCUACGUCCCUGGGGGAAGCCUCACACCUCCAACCCUACUAGACUGAGUGCAUGAACUUCGUGAAGUUGCUGCAUGCCUACAACCGCACCCAUUUGCUGGCCUGUGGCACGGGAGCCUUCCACCCAACCUGUGCCUUUGUGGAAGUGGGCCACCGGGCAGAGGUAAGGCCGGAUCUAGGCAGGGAGCGAGGUCAGGAGGGUAAGAAGGGCCUGGUAGUCACAACUUGCCACACCUCCCAGGAGCCCGUCCUCCGGCUGGACCCAGGAAGGAUAGAGGAUGGCAAGGGGAAGAGUCCUUAUGACCCCAGGCAUCGGGCUGCCUCCGUGCUGGUGGGGGAGGAGCUAUACUCAGGGGUGGCAGCAGACCUCAUGGGACGAGACUUUACCAUCUUUCGCAGCCUAGGGCAACGUCCGAGUCUCCGAACAGAGCCACACGACUCCCGCUGGCUCAAUGAGCCCAAGUUUGUCAAGGUAUUUUGGAUCCCGGAGAGCGAGAACCCAGACGACGACAAAAUCUACUUCUUCUUUCGUGAGACGGCGGUAGAGGCGGCGCCGGCACUGGGACGCCUGUCCGUGUCCCGCGUUGGCCAGAUCUGCCGGAACGACGUGGGCGGCCAGCGCAGCCUGGUCAACAAGUGGACGACGUUCCUGAAGGCGCGGCUGGUGUGCUCGGUGCCCGGCGUCGAGGGCGACACCCACUUCGAUCAGCUCCAGGAUGUGUUUCUGUUGUCCUCGCGGGACCACCGGACCCCGCUGCUCUAUGCCGUCUUCUCCACGUCCAGCAUCUUCCAGGGCUCUGCGGUGUGCGUGUACAGCAUGAACGACGUGCGCCGGGCCUUCUUGGGACCCUUUGCACACAAGGAGGGGCCCAUGCACCAGUGGGUGUCAUACCAGGGUCGCGUCCCCUACCCGCGGCCAGGCAUGUGUCCCAGCAAGACCUUUGGCACCUUCAGUUCCACCAAGGACUUCCCAGACGAUGUCAUCCAGUUUGCGCGGAACCACCCCCUCAUGUACAACCCUGUCCUGCCCAUUGGGGGGCGCCCUCUUUUCCUACAAGUUGGAGCCAAUUACACCUUCACUCAAAUUGCCGCGGACCGGGUUGCAGCCGCUGACGGACACUAUGACGUCCUCUUCAUUGGCACAGACGCUGGCACGGUGCUGAAGGUGAUCUCGGUCCCCAAGGGCAGUAGGCCCAGCGCAGAGGGGCUGCUCCUGGAGGAGCUGCACGUGUUUGAGGUGAGGCCUCGCCCCCAGUCGCCCGGGACCCCCCCACCCCCCUAAGCCCUGACCCCGUCGCCCCUCCUCCCUCUCAGGACUCGGCCGCUGUCACGAGCAUGCAAAUUUCUUCCAAGAGGCACCAGCUGUACGUAGCCUCGCGGAGCGCGGUGGCCCAGAUCGCGUUGCACCGCUGCGCUGCCCACGGCCGCGUCUGCACCGAAUGCUGUCUGGCGCGUGACCCCUACUGCGCCUGGGACGGGGUCGCGUGCACGCGCUUCCAGCCCAGUGCCAAGAGGCGGUUCCGGCGGCAAGACGUAAGGAAUGGCGACCCCAGCACGUUGUGCUCCGGAGACUCGUCUCGUCCCGCGCUGCUGGAACACAAGGUGUUCGGCGUGGAGGGCAGCAGCGCCUUUCUGGAGUGUGAGCCCCGGUCGCUGCAGGCGCGCGUGGAGUGGACUUUCCAGCGCGCAGGGGUGACAGCCCACACCCAGGUGCUGGCAGAGGAGCGCACCGAGCACACCGCCCGGGGACUACUGCUGCGCAGGCUGCGGCGCCGGGACUCGGGCGUGUACUUGUGCGCCGCCGUCGAGCAGGGCUUUACGCAACCGCUGCGUCGCCUGUCGCUGCACGUGUUGAGUGCUACGCAGGCCGAACGACAGGCGCGGGCCGAGGAGGCUGCGCCCGCCGCGCCGCCGGGCCCCAAACUCUGGUACCGGGACUUUCUGCAGCUGGUGGAGCCGGGCGGCGGUGGCAGCGCGAACUCCCUGCGCAUGUGCCGCCCGCAGCCUGCGCUGCAGUCACUGCCCCUGGAGUCGCGGAGAAAGGGCCGUAACCGGAGGACCCACGCCCCUGAGCCUCGCGCUGAGCGGGGGCCGCGCAGCGCAACGCACUGGUGACUGGACUGUCCCCACGCCGGGAACCAAGCAGGAGACGACAGGCGAGAGAGGAGCCAGACAGACCCUGAAAAGAAGGACGGGUUGGGGCCGGGCACAUUGGGGGUCACCGGCCGAUGGAGACACCAACCGACAGGCCCUGGCUGAGGGCAGCUGCGCGGGCUUAUUUAUUAACAGGAUAACCCUUGAAUGUAGCAGCCCCGGGAGGGCGGCACAGGUCGGGCCCAGGAUUCAGCCGGAGGGAAGGGACGGGGAAGCCGGGCUCCAGAGCAACGACCAGGGCCGAGGAGGUGCCUGGAGUGCCCACCCUGGGAGACAGACCCCACCUCCUUGGGUAGUGAGCAGUGAGCAGAAAGCUGUGAACAGGCUGGGCUGCUGGAGGUGGGGCGAGGCAGGCCGACUGUACUAAAGUAACGCAAUAAACGCAUUAUCAGCCAAAGCUGGAAUGGCCCCAGCAGAAAACCCCA